GAUGAAGAACGUAGCGAAAUGCGAUACGUAAUGUGAAUUGCAGAAUUCAGUGAAUCAUCGAGUCUUUGAACGCACAUUGCGCCCCCUGGUAUUCCGGGGGGCAUGCCUGUCCGAGCGUCAUUGCUGCCCUCAAGCACGGCUUGUGUGUUGGGCCUCCGCCCCCCGGCUCCCGGGGGGCGGGCCCGAAAGGCAGCGGCGGCACCGCGUCCGGUCCUCGAGCGUAUGGGGCUUCGUCACCCGCUCCGUAGGCCCGGCCGGCGCCCGCCGGCGACCCCCCUCAAUCUUGCCAGGUUGACCUCGGAUCAGGUAGGGAUACCCGCUGAACUUAAGCAUAUCAAUAAGCGGAGGA
rnacentral:misc_RNA from 1 species